CUUGCAUUGUGAAGUAAGAAAGAUUUAAUUGAAAUGGCAAGUGCUUCAUCAGAAAGUGUUCCUGUUGAUGAAAUCAACGAACUACUCACAUGUUGCAUGUGUUUGGAAACCCUACAAGAACCACGAAGCUUGGCUUGCUUUCAUAAUUUUUGUAAAGUGUGUUUAGGUAAGUAAGUGAAGGCAAAACAAUUGAGAAUGGCUGCAUUGUAUGCAUAGCCAGGCAGUCACUUACCAUACUAAGUUCUGUUUUUGUGUAUUAAG